GGCGUAGCUCAAUUGGCAGAGCAGCUGAUUUGUAAUCAGCAGGUUGCGGGUUCAAGUCCCAUCG
rnacentral:tRNA from 1 species